UACGGAAGGGGCAAGCGUUGUUCGGAAUCAUUGGGCGUAAAGGGCGCGUAGGUGGUUCUGUAUGUCUAUCGUGAAAGCAUACAGCUCAACUGUAUUUUGUCGGUAGAAACUGCAGGACUUGAGGCUGGGAGGGGCUGGUGGAAUUCCCUGUGUAGCGGCGAAAUGCGUAGAGAUGGGGGAGAACACUCGUGGCGAAGGCGGCCAGCUAGACCAGUUCUGACACUGAGGCGCGACAGCGUGGGGAGCAAACAGG
rnacentral:rRNA from 1 species